UACAGAGACUGCAAGCGUUAUUCGGAUUCACUGGGCGUAAAGGGUGCGCAGGCGGCCAAGUGUGUCAGGUGUGAAAUCCCGAGGCUUAACCUCGGAACUGCGCCUGAAACUACUUGGCUAGAGUACUGGAGAGGGUAACGGAAUUCACGGUGUAGCAGUGAAUGCGUAGAUAUCGUGAGGAACACCAGAGGCGAAGGCGGUUACCUGGACAGUUACUGACGCUCAGGCACGAAAGCGUGGGGAGCAAAGGG
rnacentral:rRNA from 1 species